rnacentral:rRNA from 1 species
AGCAGCCGCGGUAAUUCCAGCUCCAAUAGCGUAUAUUAAAGUUGUUGCAGUUAAAAAGCUCGUAGUUGAAUUUCGGGGUUAGUAGGUUGGUCGUGCCACUGGUACGUACUGGUCUCACUGAUUCCUCCUUCCUGAUGAACUGUAAUGCCAUUAAUUUGGUGUUGCAGGGAAACUGGACUGUUACUUUGAAAAAAUUUAGAGUGUUUAAAGCAAGCUAACGCUUGAAUACAUUAGCAUGGAAUAAUGAAAUAGGACGUUCGGUCCUAUUUUGUUGGUUUCUAGGAUUGACGUAAUGAUUAAUAGGGAUAGUUGGGGGCAUUAGUAUUCAAUUGUCAGAGGUGAAAUUCUUGGAUUUAUUGAAGACUAACUACUGCGAAAGCAUUUGCCAAGGAUGUUUUCAUUAAUCAAGAACGAAAGUUAGGGGAUCGAAGACGAUCAGAUACCGUCGUAGUCUUAACCAUAAACUAUGCCGACUAGGGAUCGGAUGAUGUUAAUUUUUUAAUGACUCGUUUGGCACCUU